rnacentral:lncRNA from 1 species
UUGCUAUGGAAUCCUGUGGUUCUUGGAUCCCUGCAUUUCAGUUGGUAUCUUGUGGCCACCGGAUACGGGAACCAGGACAGGAACCUUGUCAGAGUGCAGGAGCUCUAUCAUAUGCUUGGUGCCACUAAAAAGGUGAGCAAGCUGUGACUUUAAUAUCAAGGUAGACCCCUCGGUUUACUUUCUCCAGUCAUACAUGUUAUGCAUUUGAAAACUAUUGAAUGGUUUUUGAGCUUGUAUAUAUGUCUAAGAACAAAACAUAACAUUUUUCCAUGUCAUUUCUAUGCAUAACUAGCUUUUCCAUGCCUUGGGCAUUGUAGAUCUUGAUGUUCUUUGAUUCCCAUCUGGAAUAAAUAUAGGACAAACAAGAAUUUGCUUGUACAUGGACAUUUUGCUAUCAGAAGAAUUGUCUGUAGUUUUAAAAUGCUAAAUAAUGCAGGUUGCCAACCAUCAGAGUCCAAGUCCAACUUGGUAGACUAGGUUGAAAUUUCCAUGUAGUAAAGUGCUGAAGGACGAUGAAGACCAAGUUUGAUGGUAAAAGCAUAAAGACAUUAGUGGCUGACCAGUAUUGUUUUUGUUUCCCAGGGGUUGGUGGCUGAAGUGUUGUUGGGGACGGGUACAUGGUCUGGAAAGCUUAAAAGAAUAUCAAUGAUGUGAAGGCAAUAUUUUUCAUGAAUUUUAUCAAAUUAUUUGUUUGGCACCU